GAGCCGAGCUGCUGAAGGUGUUCUCACCCCAUUGCCUGCUGUGUGUAAAGCAUGGACGGAACGCGCUUGGCCCUGCAUGCGGAGUCUGUCGCCCUGCCCGCCCCUCGGCACUGCGCGUCCCCUCCGUGCGCGACCAGCAGAUGGCAUCAGCUUGGUGAAAAUCACCCAGCGAGGCUGUAGCGGUUCCCUCUGCCUCCAAGGAGAACAAGCGGUCUUGUUCUCCACGCCUUCCCCACCGCCACGUUGUGCACACGAGGAAUCAAACACCAGCAAAGGCCCCGAUGUCACUGAAGUGCUAACGAAAUGCAGUGUGAGAAGCUGAAUGCACACUUCCAGGGUUUCUAGGAUCGCAGCCGAACGUAAGGCUCUGAUCAAUCCACGCUUUCAGUGUCUCUGAUGUAUACCAGCCAUUUCAUGAUGACUGCAUUCAGAACUAUCAGCUCAAUGCUCUUUUGGCUAGCUUGCUCUCUGCUGAUUCCUCCUGGAGACCUGCAGCCCCACAAACUGGCAGAGAAAUAGAUGCCAAGGAUUUGGAAGACCGUUUCUGAGAGAGAAUACUGACAAGGGGCCAUUACAGUUAAAUCUUCAAAUGUGGUUUUAAAGAAAUGAAAAUACAAGCACAAGGUCUGUCUGUCCAUCUAUCUAUUUUGCUAAGGACAGGAGAAUAACA